rnacentral:rRNA from 1 species
GACGAACGCUGGCGGCGUGCUUAACACAUGCAAGUCGAGCGGAAAGGCCCUUUCGGGGGUACUCGAGCGGCGAACGGGUGAGUAACACGUGAGUAAUCUGCCCCUGGCUUUGGGAUAGCCACCGGAAACGGUGAUUAAUACCGGAAACGACCACUUCUCGCAUGGGAUGGUGGUGGAAAGUUUUUCGGCCAGGGAUGUGCUCGCGGCCUAUCAGCUUGAUGGUGAGGUAAUGGCUCGCCAUGGCUUCGACGGGUAGCCGGCCUGAGAGGGUGGCCGGGCACACUGGGACUGGGACACGGCCAAGACUCCUACGGGAGGCAGCAGUGGGGAAUAUUGGACAAUGGGCGGAAGCCUGAUCCAGCAACGCCGCGUGAGGGAUGACGGCCUUCGGGUUGCAAACCUCUUUCAGCAGGGACGAAGCGCAAGUGACGGUACCUGCAGAAGAGGCACCGGCCAACUACGUGCCAGCCGCCGCAGUAA